CAGCCGUAAACGAUGUGCGUUAGGUGUAUCGACGACCACGAGUCGUCGAGGUGCCGAAGGGAAACCGUGAAACGUACCGCCUGGGAAGUACGGUCGCAAGGCUGAAACUUAAAGGAAUUGGCGGGGGAGCACCACAACAGGUGGAGCCUGCGGUUUAAUUGGACUCAACGCCGGAAAUCUCACCGGAUAGGACAGCAGAAUGAUUGCCGGGCUGAAGACUCUGCAUGACUAGCUGAGAGGAGGUGCAUGGCGUCAGUGACU
rnacentral:rRNA from 1 species